rnacentral:tRNA from 1 species
GCCUGGGUGGCUCAGUCGGUUGAGUGUCCGACUUCGGCUCAGAUCACAGUCUCGCGGUCUGUGAGUUCGAGCCCCGCGUCAGGCU